ACACUGCUCCUCCCUCACUGUGAUCAAGAAGGCGGUUCACCAAGAGCGAGGCUCAGCCUUUGCACUCUGGCUGUGCUGACCCCUGCGAAUUCCCCAAAUGUGGGAAUCUCGACUGCAUAAUUUCUGAAAGUGGGGGACUGCGUUCGCACUCUAUUCUG
ensembl:snRNA U1 U1 spliceosomal RNA